GACGUAGGGCGCGAGCGUUGUCCGGAUUUAUUGGGCGUAAAGAGCUCGUAGGCGGCUUGUCGCGUCGUUCGUGAAAACCUGCAGCUUAACUGUGGGCUUGCGGUCGAUACGGGCAUCACUGGAGUUCGGCAGGGGAGACUGGAAUUCCUGGUGUAGCGGUGAAAUGCGCAGAUAUCAGGAGGAACACCGGUGGCGAAGGCGGGUCUCUGGGCCGAUACUGACGCUGAGGAGCGAAAGCGUGGGGAGCGAACAGG
rnacentral:rRNA from 1 species